rnacentral:lncRNA from 10 species
AGAGAUGGAGUGCAUCUGCCCCAAGUGGAGGCAGCAGCAGCAGCAGGAGGGAGGUGUCGGGGCAGUGGGGCCGCAGGGCCAGUCCUCAGGAAAGAAAACUGGCUCAGAGAGGCUGAGUAACCUGCUCAAGAUGACACAGCUUGUGGGUGGCUGAGUUGGCCUUCCAACCCAGAUUCCUGUCAUGUUCCUCAAGCCGACAGGUUCAGCUUGGUUGUGACCUCUGCUAGAAGCCCUCCCUGGCCUCCCUGUGCACUGAGCUGGUGGUUCCUCCUUUGCGCCCCAGGUACAUGCUCAGAUCUGUGUACCCUACACUUUGUCCUCCAGCUUCGUGUUUGGAUGUUCACAACUCCCAUGAGAAGGGCCCCCGAGAGCUGGCACAGUGCAUGUGUUUCCUCUCCAGACUUCUACAAACCUGGCACAUAAUUGUUUGCUGAAAGAUGGCAUGUUCCUAAAACAGAGGAAGUAGAACCGAAUAAAGCGAAAUCCAACUUCCCACUCCCUGCUCUCACUUCCUCUGGGACAGGCCUUGAGCAAGAGAGACAAAAAGAACAAGAGAUGAUCUUUCCCUUUAAUGGGAUUUCAGUCUGAUCAGGGAGAUAGUAACAGAAAGACUAGACUAGACUAGUGUAUGAUUAAAUGACAUUUGCCAUCCCCAGAAGAGGGAGAGACCUGCAUGGAACAGGGUGGUCAAGGCAGGCUUCCUGGAGGAGGCAAAGACUUAGAUUUAACAGUACCAGAGCUCCAGGAUAGAUCCUCCUCUGACUGAACUCCCUAUUUCUUUCUCCCACCCCAACCUUCCCGGGUCCCCAGCUGAAGGGAUACGUGUGUGUGUGUGUGUACAUGUGCCUGCACACAUGUACACAUGUGGUUAGAAAGGGGGUAUUAGUAUCUCUCUCCUAGGAUGGAGUCUCAAGGACAGGCCCAUCAUCUCCUCAGUUUGCCCCUCUCUCUCCCACUUCACCUAGGGAAUGGAAUAAGAAUGGGAUAAGUAUAACACAAUGAGACGAAUGCAGAACCAACUAGAUGUACACCCAACAAUGUGGAUGAACCUUAAAACAGUGCUGCCUGAAGAAGGCAAGAAACAGAAUGAAAUCUGCAGCACAUCAUUCAUAUAAACUAAAAAUACAUGCACAGAGAAAGGCCACUUUUUUUUUUUUGGAGACAAAGUUUCGCUCUUGUCACUCAGGCUGGAGUGCAAUGGCACGAUCUCGGCUCACUGCAACGUCCACCUCUAGGGUUCAAGCGACUGUCCUGCCUCAGCUUCUAGAGUAGCUGGGAUUAUAGGAGCCCACCACCAUGGCCGGCUAAUUUUUGUCUUUUUAGUAGAGACGGGGUUUCACCAUGUUGCCCAGGCUGGUCUCAAACUCCUGACCUCAGGUGAUCCACGUGCCUCGGCCUCCGAAAGUGCUGGGAUUACAGGCGUGAGCCACCGCACCCAGUCAGCAACGUAUGUUUUGUAGAGACACAGACAAAGAUGUGAUGUCAAACACACUAAUGUGGUUGCCUCAUUUAUGGAUGGGGGACUGGGCUGGUGAAUGAGGAUUAAAGGAAUAAAUAAAUAAAACAAGAGAGGGCCUCUGUACAGAACGGUGAUGACAGCGUGCCGUCGAGGAGAAUGAUGAACUCAAACUUUUGCACCUGAGAGCCAAACAAAAGCUCAAAACCAAAAUCUCUCUUAGAAAUGAUGCCACUGACUUUAGGAUGGCACUCAUAUCUGUGUGAGUGGGAGAGAGAAGGGUUUGGGGCAGGGAUUUGACUGUAGCUGUAAUGUUUUAUUCCUUUAAAAAAGAUAAGAUAAUCUGAAACAAAAUGUUAAUAUCUGUUGAAUCUGGGGAGAGGCUAUGAGGGUUUCUGUUAAACCAUUUUGUGUACAUUUUAAAUACAGUCAUGCAUGAGUUAAUGAUGGGGAAUAAGUUCUUAGAGAUACGUUGUUAAGCAGUUUUGUUAUUGUGUGAACAUUAUCGAGUGUACUUACACAAACUUAGGAUGGAAUAGCUGACUAUAUAACUUAGACUAUAUGGUCUAGCCUAUUGCUUGAAGGCUGCAAACCCAUACUCCAUGUUACUGUACUGAAUAAUGAAGACAAGUGUAAUACGAUGGCAAGUAUUUGUGUAUCUAAACAUAGAAAAGGUACAGUAGAAAUGUGGUAUCGUAGUCUUAUGAGAGUACUGUUGUAUAUGCAAUGCUUUGUUGACUGAAACAUCAUUAUGUGGUUCAUGACUGUAUAUCAUAAUUUUAAAAAAUAUUUUAAGAGGUUGCCAAUCAAGACACUACAAACUAAUUUUGUGGCUUUUGUCAAAAUUCAUUUCUUUCUUUCUUUUUUUUUUUUUUGUUUUGAGACAGGGAUCACUCAAGCAAUCCUUCUGCCUUAGCCUCCCAAGUUGGUGGGACUACAGUCUUGUAUGCCACCACGCUUGGCUAAUUUUUUUUUUUUUUAAAUUAUUGAAUAGAGAUGGGGUCUUGCUAUGUUGCCCAGGCUGAUCUCAAACUUCUGGACUCAAGUGAUCCUCCCUUCUUGUUCUCCCUAAGUGGGAUUACAGAUGUGAGCCACUGUGCCUGGCCCUGGCUAAAUUUUAAAUUAUUUUUGUAGUGACAGGGUUUUGCUAUGUUGCCCAGACUGUCUUGAACUCCUGGCCUCAUGUAAUCCUCCUGCCUUGGCCUCCCAAAGUAGAAUUCAUUUCUGUUGCUAGGUUGGCCUCUGAACAGUUUUACAGAGCUGAAUGCUCUAGUCUUCUGUGACACAGUCUUUUUCUUUUUUUUUUUUUUUUUUUUGAGACGGAGUCUCACUCUGUCACCCAGGCUGGAGUGCAUUCGGCUCAAUCUCGGCUUACUGCAACCUCUGCCUCCUGGGUUCAAGGAAUUCUCUUGCCUCAGCCUCCCGAGUAGCUGGGAUUACAGGCAUGCACCACCAUGCCCGGCUAAUUUUUGUAGUUUUAGUAGAGACGGAGUUUCAUCAUGUGGCCAAGUGGUCUUGAACUCCUGACCUCAAGUGAUCCACCCACCUCAGCCUCCCAAAGUGCUGGGAUUACAGGCAUGAGCCACCAUACCCGAUGACACAGUCUUAAUAAGGAGAAGAAUAUGAAGAAUUUGACUUUUUAUUGAUGCUAAAAGCAUUAAUAAAUAAGAUCUUUGGAAAAAUGUGGAAAAUGGAAAAUGUCACUGCCUGCUGUCUGUAGGGUGAAAUGAAAUGGCUAAAGAGCUAUAGGAGCAUUUUGUUCUCACUUGUUGGGUCAGAUCAACUUCCCAGGACUUUUUGGGAAGAUCACAAAUCCUAGACAAUCGUACUGCACUGCUCUAGGAAUUCUUGGAGGGCUGGAAGUCUCACAAUUAGGGCUUUUUCUCUGGGCACCAACCUGACACGCAUGGCAAGGGGGCUGAGCAGUUGUCUAUGGUAUAGAUGCUAUAUUCUAUGACUCCUGUUGGCCCUAGCCAUAGCUGAUUGGUAUAGAGGGUCAAAGCUGGGCCAAUCAGAUUAUCUGUCUCAAGAUUCUGGAAUUCUGAACUGGGGCAGAGACAGGGAGCUGUGGGAAUGUGGUUGCUUUAAUGGGAAUGUUCUGGUGAGGAGAUGCAUUGACUCCAGAUGCUUACAUCCUUUCCUGAGGCUCAAUUGUUCAACCUUUUCUUGAAAUUUAGGGCCAAACAAAAGGUCAAAACCAAAAUCACUCUUAGAAAUGAUGCCACCGACUUUAGGAUGGCACUCAUAUCUGUGUGAGUGGGAGAGAGAAGGGCUUGGGGCAGGGAUUUGACUGUAGUUGUAAUGUUUUAUUCAUUAUUGUGAAUUUUGUCAUAUUAUUGUGAUUUGUCAGGGUUGAUUUCUAUUACUUGUCCUAUGGAGUAGGUUACUAUAUUUUUGUCUUCUCACCUUCCCCUGGUGCUGCUGUUAAUACAUAUGGUAUCUUUAUUGAGUUAGAAAAAGAUGCCUGACUCUGGGUGGACAAGCAAGAAAAAGCUGUUCUUUCCUUCAGGCGGACACAGCCUCUAACGAGGGUGGAAGGUUUGGCCAGUGGAGCACGGGCUGGGUUUCAGGCCAUACUCUGCUCACUUCCUUGGCCCAGCCCUUUUGUGCAUUGCACAGAUGACAUCCCCAUUUAUGGCGGCCUUACACCUGUCCACCAUGUGCUUUUGGGAUGAUCUGUCUUCUGCAGCUAGGCAUUGUUCAGAAUAUGAAGGGCUAUUCCAGACAAGAUUCACGGGACAUGGACUAUCAUGCAAGUCCUAUUCUGGACUUUAAGGCUCAUGACAAAGAUGUUAAAAGUCAAACCUGCUCAAAGUCAAGACUUAAAGGAAAUGUAGAAAAACUCUCUGGCCUGAUAAAGUCCACAGAAGCCUCAUCUUCUGAUGAAUGAUCUUCAGGCUUGAAAGGAUGCCUUCCUCCAAACAGGCUGGCAGACAUUCUUGAAAUGUCAAAGGAUAGGCCAGGGGUGGUGGCUCACGCCUGUAAUCCUAGCACUUUGGGAGGCCAAUGUGGGCAGAUUGCCUGAGCUCAGGAGUUCAAGACCAGCCUGGGUAAUGUGGUGAAACCCCAUCUCUACUAAAAUACAAAGAAUUAGCUGGACAUGGUGGUGCGCGCCUGCAGUCCCAGCUACUCGGGAGGCUGAGGCAGGAGAAUCACUUGAGCCCAGGAGGCGGAGGUUGCUGUGAGCCAAGAUUGCACCACUGCACUCCAGCCUGGGUGACAGAGCAAGACUCCAUUUCAAAAAAAAAAGAAAAAAAAGAAAGAAAGAAAGAAAUGCCAAAGGGUACUCUUCCAUCCCCCUGUGAAAAAAACUAAAAAACUAGUGGUGAGAAGUUAAGAGCAAGAUCACAGGAACAGAUGACAAGGAGGUGUCUGAAGGCCACAAUGAGAGUGACAUGGAAACCAGUCAAGGCACUGAUGGCCAUGGGAAGAAAAUGAUCUCAAGGAAGAGAUAAUUCCUUGAGAGGAGGCUGCUCCAGCUCUGAUUUGUUCAUUCAUUUUACAGUCAGGAAGCCACUCCACCCCAGAAGAAGGUAAUAUGAGUCCUACUACCUUUCUGAAAGGAAGGUGAGUACAGAAAAGCAAGACAGUAACUUUCCCAAGCCAGGGAACCCCUGUCUCCCCAACUUCUGCAUCAUGUAGACCAUUUGUGUCUACAACUUACAGGAGGCAGUGUAGACUAGCAGUUGAGAAUGUGAGUCUAGAAUCAGAAUGCCUGGGUUCAAACCUCAACUCUGUCACUUUCCAGCUAUUUGGCCUUGGACAUAUUACUUAAACAUUUGUGUGUUUUAAAACGUGUACACAAUCCUUUGACUCUCUUUCCAUCAAGAAGUGGAGCCUAUGUCCCCUCCCUUUGAACCUGGGUGGAAAUGUGGGAGUGCCUAGACAAAUAGAAUGUGGCAAAAGUGACACUGUGUGAUUUCCAAGGCUAGGUUAGAAAAGACCCUGCAGCUUCUGAUGAUUCCUUUAGGGACACUCAUGUCGGGAGGCUUCAGCUGCUGUGAAAGAAACUCAGCUACCCUGAGGCUGCCUUGUAGAGGGACUGCAUUUAAAGUGAGAGAUUCCUGAGGAGUUCCAGCCAUCCAGCCCCAAGCAGUGUGAACCUCCUAGUCUAGACCCCAGCAUUUGAGCUGACCUCAGCCCCAGCCACCAAUUGACUGCAAACUCAUGAGACACCCUGAGUGAGAACUGCCUAGCUUAGUCUCUGUCAACCCUCAAAUUUCAGGAACAAAAUAAAUGAUUGUUGUUGUCUUAAGACCACUGUUUGGGGAUGGUUUCUUAUCAUGCAAUAGAUAGCUGAUGCAGACUUUUCUAUAACCUAGAAACGGAAUGCUGCCAUCACAGAACCUAAGUCAUGUGGCUUUAGGACUGGGAGAUGGGUAGAGAUUGUAAGGACUUUGAGGAUAUUGUUGAUGGAAGUCUGAUAGUUCUCAAGGAAGUUGCUGGUGAGGGCUUAAAGGAAAGUGAGAAAUUUUUAUUAGAAGCAGGAGGAAAGGGGACAAACCCUUAUUACGUGGUGGAAGAAAGUUAGUAACAUUGUCACUUGAAGCUAUGUGAGCAAUAGAAAAUGUGCCUA